ACAUAGCUACAAAAUGAGAUCGACAUGGGAUUCCUUUUGACUCACCCCAGUUGUGACUGCAACAUGGCUAAAGCUGGUGGUUUUCUUGCCUGAUGGAUGAUGACAACACUCCUGUGAUACAUCAGAACUUUUUGUUGACUGAACGAGUAGCCUUCGCUUCAUUCCACCUGCUGUCCCACUGUGUGAGACUACACCUACUCAUCACUGCGCUGAGAAACUGGUACUUAAAAUGAUCCGAAGCAUCAGAUCAGCCUUGGCCUGAGAGUUCGAACUGGUACACUGAUGGCAGUAGCCUCGCGGUUAAAGCCUUUGUUCUCUAGGCUCAAGGUGCUCCAGUGAGUGAGACAGCGAGCAAAGAAGCAGCUCCAGAAGGCCUACUCAAGAGAAGACCUGCUAGACGUCUCCACGCAGAAAACCUUGAGACUCCGGUGGAAAGGCCCUUAUCUUGUACUCUUAACCACCCUACUUUCUACCUUUAUGAGACCCCUUUUGAUUUUGCUUCUGCUUUUAAUUAUAGGUCCAUGUGUGUUAAAUAGACAAGUCACCUUUAUUAAGACAAGAAUUAGUGCAGUGCGGCUUUUAGCUUUGAGACAACAGUACCAUGCCCUAAAGAAUCAAAUAUGUCAGGGAAAAGAUAGUGUCUAGUUCUAAGAUUAGAACUACUAACAAGUAGAAGUGGGGAAUGAAAGUAUAACAAAGUAAAAAGAGAAUUCUAGGCCUUUAGGCCCAGUCUUGGGAAUGUGGCCUUUGUAAAGGUAUGCUAAUCAUAAAACAGAUAGCGACAUUCCUCUACCCACCCGCUUCCUGGGUUCAAAGAGUGCUCAUUCAAAAAAAGUCAUCCUGACCAUUGCUGGAACCCGCUAUGCAAAUGUGCUUUUGUUAGGGGCUCUUAGAAACUGUUUUGAGAAAUAACCCUCACAAUUACCAGGUAUUCCUCAUGACUCUUGUAACUUUGCACUUCCUUGUGACUCUUAACUAGUAUUUUUGGUAUUUUCCAACAACGCCCUUCCCACCUCCUUGAGUUGUGGUUUCUUCCUUUAAAUACCCCCUUACUCAGCUACUCGGGGCGCCAUGGUCCUCUACCCCUGUGUGGUGUAUGACCUGGGGCCUGAGAGUGCUCCUGAAUAAAAAUCCUCUUGCAGUUUGCAACAAGACCGUUUCUUGUAGGUGAUUUUGGGGUGUUGCCUCUCCUGAGUCAGAACGUGGGGGAGUCCUCACGUUGUGGGUCUUUCAUAAGCAUUACUCAGAGAAACAGAUGGGAAUUCAUACCAGACAUGGUUUAAAUAUAAAAGGCCAAUCAAAGAUUGAGUCAACUCCCUAUGACCACUAUAUCCAUCCAAAGAACUGAUAAUUAUGAGAAGAAAUACACAAAGCAACAUCGAAUGCAAAGUAUUAGCAGAGGAAGCUUCUUCAGCCAUAGUCUCUUCCCUCUCAUUCUAAUUGGAAACCAAUCACUUUAGAGCCAUGGUGAAUACCAACACUGCAUAUCAGUGAGAUCACUAUGUGAUGCAUUCUGAAUGUGCACACUAGAUCCACUCAUAGCAUUUUAUCACAAAUUCUAAACCUCUUGAGCAAGUGUUUUAUGCCUAAUGUGGAAUUUCAAGAAAAGCAUCUUAAAUAUAGAAUAGAUAUUUUCAAAGGUUUGAGGGUUUUUGUGUUUUGUUUUUGUUUUCCAUUUUUUAUUAGAUAUUUUCUUCAUUUACAUUAAAGUGCUAUCCUGAAAGGUAUUGUUUACAGGAGAAUCUCUGUUUACAGCCUUUCUUUCUUUUGCAUGGAACCAUACAGAAACACAGUUUAGUCAAAAAUGGGUAGAAUAAAUCACAUUUACACCUGUGUCUUUACCCUAAGGCUAACAUAGGGAAUAGAGGGAAUCAUUCUAUGAUCAACAAAUCAUACUGGGUGUUAAUUUUUUAUAAUUCUUUUGUGAAAUGAUAAACUGUAUUAUUUCUUAAUGAGUUAAUUUAUCAAAUCUUCAGACAGAUGGUUGUGUAAUUCAUUGUUAAUAGCUGUCAACAGUGAAACUAUUGUAAGGUCUAACAUGAAAAGCAAAUAAUUUGAUCUCCAGAAUAAACAAUUAAGGAAUGUAAU